CGUGUUCGCCAUCACCGUGGGCAUGCCGGUUGCCCCGCCCCCCUCGCGCUCAUCGUCCUCGACUUCAAGAAUGUCCGAUCAUGCCUUGAGAAGAUAACUAACCAAUUGCUUCUGCUUCAGGUCUCAUACCCACUGCUACGGGGUGUUCAUCACCGUCUGACGGCUUCAAUAAGACCGGCACUACCAGCGCAUUCUGGGAGUUCAUGCCUUCAUGGAGCCCUAUGAGCGCAUCAACACGCUGACCGGGUAGUCAUCCUUUUGUUGGGGAUCGUUUUCCUCUCUAGCGUGGCGUCGAAUAUCCCUACUGUCCUACUACUCGGUGUGCGGGUGGCAGCCUCGGCAGCGCGAUCUCCCCCCAGAGUGGAGACCAACAUGUGGCUGCUCCUGGCCUGGGUGAGCUCGGUGGCUGGCAGCCUCUCACUUCUGGGCUCGGCGGCCAACCUAAUCCCGGGUCGAGGUAAUUUGCAACUGCCCUUCUCUUGUGUUAUUGCUGAAAACUUGUGCAUGUUUUAAGAUCACCCUGUUUCGAUUGCUGAAUAUUAUUACUUUGAAUCCAACAAUUCAUGUUUCGAUUUUUUUCUAUGGGGGAAAUGAAACACUUUAAUUUGGGGCUGGGUCC